CCACACCUGCCACCUCCCUCCCUCGGAAGUGACGCCGCCCACAGCCGCACACACCACCAUUGACGACCACUGCAUUGACUGAAGGAAGAACAAGAUCUAGUCGGCCAGUUAGCAGGGGUGAUGGCGCGGGGUCGCCCACCAAAGGCGGCACCUCCGGCAGCAGCGGUCAUGACCACCGCUGGUUCUUCGGCCGCGACGACCAAGCGUCCUCCUACAGUACAGACCUGCUUCACCUCCAUUGCCUUGCAAUCUCUUGCUGGUGAAUGGAACCCUGAGGUCAGAAGUGUUUUAAAAGAUGUAGGCAUGGAUGAGUUGUGCAAAAUCAGAGUGCUAGGGAACACAAACAUGAUCUUUUCCAUGUCUUUGAUAUCUAGAAUCAACCCAGAUAACAUGAUGAUGGACAUGGGUGAUGGUGUAUUCAUGGAGAUUAACAGUAGAGAGGUUGCUAGAUGUAUUGGUCUUGCGCCGGGGGUAGGAAAAUAGACAUCGCCGGUGGCCGGUGCCUUGUAGAUCGUGAGGACUUGCUUGGCAAAGUCCACGGCAUACUUGGCACUGGUAUGCCGAGGUCGAACAACAUCCCGGUUCACAAAGUCAAGAAGAUAGUUCAAGGGGCUCGCAAAGUUGCGAUAGAGGGUGAGGAGCGCACCACGAUGAGGGUGGCGGUCACACUGUUAGCCAGCUCUACUUUCCUUGUGCCUAGGGGUGCCAUAGCAAAUAUCGCAAAUGAACUACUUCCUGUUGUGGACGAGCCAGAGAUGAUAGCAGAGUUUGAUUUCUGUGAUUAUGUGGUUGAGGGCCUGAGGGAAGCAGCAAGAAAGUUAAGGGAUGAACUCAGCUGUGAUCCUCCUUUGGUCAACCUUACUGGGUGCCUUAUCAUCCCGCAGAUGAUCUGGCUGGACUACCACUAGCACGGUCGUCAAGGCAGGCUACUGCUACCACUCCCUAGGCUUGUUGACUAUUCUGACAUGAUGCUAAGGGGGCUGAUCCGGAAGCAUGCAAUUGCUCAGGGGAUAGAAUGCGGUCUGGAGCUCGGUGAUAUUCCUCGUUCUCCGCCAGCAAACAUUAUUCAGUGGUGUGGCAAUGCUCCUAAGCACCAUGGUGAGAGCAGUGGAGCUGGUGUGGCAGCUAGUGCUUCAAACCAUGAUCAAACGACUCCUGCUGCAGCCGGCGGCUUCUCU